UGGGUUUUGUGAAGAGUUGAGGAGAAGAGUUUUUGUUUCCAAUACUUUUUUGAAGAGCAAUGGCCACUGGAGAAAAAGGAAAUUAAGUCACCAUUUUUGUUUUUGUUGGAUAUGGAAUAAGCAAUCAGUUUGGGGUUUCUUUUGGUGUGGAUUGGGAUUUUAUGUUUUUUUGGAAUCAACAUUGAUUUUUACCGGUACUAGUAAGUACCUCCUCAUCGGACCAUCCGUAUUGUGGUUGAGUAUCUCCCCAGGAUUGGAAACCGGAGGAUACCUACCUGGCUCUCCCAUCGUCAACCUCUCAAGGAGUUUGGAGAAGCCUCCGUCCCUACUUUUGUAGAAGCGACAGGUUUUUAUUAUAAAACAUACAUUUUCAAUUCUUUUAAAUAACUGCUUGCAAUAUUAAUAUUUUUUCCAAUAAAUUAGAAAUAACCUUAAUAAUCAUAUAAACUCAUUUUUUCUAAAAUCACCAUUUGUAAUAUUCAAUCAUUUUUUUUCAACAAGUUUUAUCGUUCACUGUUCGUACCAUUCAUUUAAAAUAGUCCGGGAAUUAUAAACUAUAUGUUAAGGUGUUGUAUACAAUAUCUACGGUUUUAAUUCCUAUUUAAUAACCUUUAUUUCAGUUAACAGGUAUGGUACUCAGGGUUAUCACUUAGGUCAGAUACGAGAUUGUCAACCAAUACUGUAACCAAUAUCCAUAAUACAUUUUUGUUUAAGUAAAUAACUUGUGAUUCCCAAUAACUGUCUUGAUCUAACUAAUUAAGUUCUUUGUUUUAAUUUUUAUUGCGAUCUCAUUGUCGACAGGAGCGUACUUUUCUAGUACAACAGGUACUGAUUAGCUAGUUUGUAUAAAAUUGUAUAUAGGGGUUAUAGGUUUUUUUUCAUUAAAUUUGUUGGUUGUACAUA